rnacentral:rRNA from 1 species
GAUGAACGCUGGCGGCGUGCUUAACACAUGCAAGUCGAACGGAAAGGCCCAAGCUUGCUUGGGUACUCGAGUGGCGAACGGGUGAGUAACACGUGGGUGAUCUGCCCUGCACUUCGGGAUAAGCCUGGGAAACUGGGUCUAAUACCGGACAGGACCACUUCUUGGAUGUUGUGGUGGAAAGUUUUUUCGGUGUGGGAUGAGCUCGCGGCCUAUCAGCUUGUUGGUGGGGUAAUGGCCUACCAAGGCGUCGACGGGUAGCCGGCCUGAGAGGGUGUACGGCCACAUUGGGACUGAGAUACGGCCCAGACUCCUACGGGAGGCAGCAGUGGGGAAUAUUGCACAAUGGGCGCAAGCCUGAUGCAGCGACGCCGCGUGGGGGAUGACGGCCUUCGGGUUGUAAACUCCUUUCGCUAGGGACGAAGCGUUUUGUGACGGUACCUGGAGAAGAAGCACCGGCUAACUACGUG